GAAGAGCAGCCAGUGCUCUCGACCGCUGAGCCAUCUCUCCAGCCCAUGGACCCAAGGACGGAACUCAGACGGGCACGCUUGGCGGCCAGUGCCUUCUCGCCCGCCCCGACCGACACUGUAGUUAUUAAGAAACUGAGCUGUUUCUUAACAAUAAUCUGGGAAUGUAAUAAAGUCAGCCACAAACAGAAGGGGGCGGGGAGGUGUCCUGUGGGGAAGAGGUGACACUGCCAGCCACCCUGAAACGCCACGAGGCACCUCCACAGUCAGUGGUGCGGCCACGGGGACAGCCAGCCACUCUUUCCGGCCUGUUUCCACACCCUAAGGUGAGGGCGUUGGAGAAACCCUAGACUAGCACCCCACCUCUCCCUCCAGCGGCACGUGGCUCUUUUGUUUGUGGUUCCUGCACUUCAAUCUGGCAGGGUGGUCUUCCUCGGCACAUCCUCUCCCUGCCCCUCAUGCCCACCAAGAUUAAAAUUCUCUAGCCAGA